UGAGAGCCGGAGCAGCACUGAAUAGGCCUUUAAUCGCUUGCUGAACUAACUAGCUAGAUUGAUGGUCGUAGGGUAGUUGGUACGUUUGAUGAGAAGUGAUUAUCUACGGUUAUCUAAAAGACAACCACAGGCGAAGGCAAGUACCUAGGCUACACUGACACUGAGGUACUGAAGCGUGGGGAGCAAAUCCGGAUUAGAGACCCGAGUAGUGCACGCCGUCAACGAUGGGUGUUGCAUAUACGUUUUUGUACUUUGGUACUUCACUAAAGAACGUGUGUGUAAGCUAACGCGUUAAACACCCCCACCCUGGGGAGUACGGUCGCAAGAUUAAAACUCAAAGGAAUUGCGGGGAAGUUGCAGCAGCGGUGGAAUAUGUGGUUUAAUUUGAUAUAACGCAAAAAACCUUACCAAUUCUUGAAAUGCAAAGGAGUUUGUUCUGUUCGGAACUGUAAUCUUCAAGAUUUUGAAUGAUAUAAUACCUUUGCACAGGUGUUGCAUGGCUGUCGUCAGCUCGUGUUGUGAAAUGUAUGGUUAAUUCCUCCAACGGGCGCAACCCUUGCGCAUACAUUGUAUGCGGACGGUCUACAAAAUGUAGAAGGAAGGUGAGGAUGACGUCAAGUCAGUAUGGCCUUUAUGAAUUGGGCUACACAUGUAUUACAAUGGUUGUCACAAAGAAUAGCAAUAGUGCGAGCUGGAGCAAGUUUUUAAAAAGCAACCUUAGUUCAGAUUGGUCUUUGCAAGUCGGGACCAUGAAGGCGGAAUCGCGAGUAAUCGCAAAUCAUCAUGUUGCGGUGAACAGUUUACAGCUUCACGACACACCGCCCGUCACGCCAUGGAAAUUGGUUUUGGUUGAAACAAAAUUUUAUGUAUUGGGCUAGCUUUUAGUGUGAUGGUUUUUCCUGGGCGCUAUCAGUACCCUUUGCGUAUAUUCGUUAGACUAAAAUUAAGGACUGGGGUGAAGUCGUAACAAGGUAACC
rnacentral:rRNA from 1 species